CCCCUCUCAGUACUGCAUCUGGAGGGUUUCCAUUACUCUACCAGUCUCAGCUGUGGGAGGGAGAGCCAAGCAGAGGCAUAACCAUUCCAUUCCUUACUUGGGCAGUGGCUAGUAAGUGGAAGACAAUCUGCUACAAGU